UUAUUAUUAUUAUUAUUCUACGUUUGCCUUUCGCUUUAUGUUUGUACAAGUUGUCUCCAAGUCUCACCCAGAGACUUCAAGAGACAACAGGUUGGAAGUUCACGUUGUGGUUAUGCCUAGAGUGUCAUAUAUUUGGGGUUUCUUUGGUGUUGUACUUGUGGAUGUCUAAAAAAAAAAACAUAGAAAGUAUUUUGCUUGUUUAAACACUUGAGAUCG